rnacentral:tRNA from 1 species
GUGCCAGUGGUGUAAGGCGUAUCAUUCUGCCUGAAAAGCGGAGGAAGCGGGUUCGAGUCCCGCCUGGUGUA